GAAUCGUGCUCAGUGACGGCGUCUGCCAGCUGAUGCUUAUCCGCUACGGCGGCCCCGACCUCCAGAUGAACUUCGUCAGCUUUGUCCACUUGAUGCUGCGUGUGGAGAACAUGGAGGGUGAGCUGGGGAAGGAGGGUGGACCCGGGCUUCCUCUGCUCUCCCCGUGGAUUGCCCACCCAUCCCCAGUUCACGCAAAAAGAGGAUGCUGCCAGGGCAGGGAACUCUGGGGAACGCUGGCUCUGUUUCUGUGAAACCUGGCUGCAUCUCCCCAAACUCACGGAUGCCUUGCCUGUUCCAGGACAGAGGUGUGGGUGGCUUGCUUAGAACAAGUGUGGCACGUGUGGUUGCACCAAGGCCAAAAUUGGGUUCCUGGGUGAGGGGAUGUAUGGGAGGAGCUAGUCCCUUAUGUUUCCAACACACACACACACACACACACAACUGUGUUCCUUUCUGCUGCGUUUUCACAGAUGUCUUCCAAAACUUGACCCAAGACGGCAAAGGGAUAUACCUCCAGAAGCCAGAGUGGCUAAUGAUGGCUCUGUACUGCUGAGAAGGCUGGAAGCUCACUGAUCCUCACUGAGGACUCUGCAUAUGGACCAAGGGUGGCCUUUAGCUGGGACCAACCCAUGUUCAACCCACCUACAUUUCUUCAGGACCGUGUCUCCAGCUAUCACCGUCUCAUCUGGGAGGAUGGGCAGCAUACAAAAAGAGAAGUGAGGGAGUAAAGAUUGCCUUGGGGUUGUCAAGACCAGCUCUUUUCCCCAGUGACCACAACCACAAGCAGAGACAUGGCCUGAGCUGACUGUGGGUUGGUGCGCUUAUCUUUGUAUGAUACGGCCUCCAUGGGAGUCUAACUUAAAUGACCUUAGAUGUGCUAUGUCAUCAUAUUUGGGGUAAGCGUCUAGGUCUCAAGAUCUGAAGAGGGAAUGAUAUGUCUACAGACAUAUGUAAAUUGGCAUCUAUAAACUGGUAGCAGCAUAGGCUAAGUUUUAACUGUCUAGGGGUGGAGUAGACCCAUAUUGCACUUUCAAGAGUGCAGAAAAUAAUAGAAUUGGCAAGGUUUGGGGGCAUGGGCUGGCCCUGGCCUCUGAGGUCACUGAGUGAUCUUCUGCUAACAAUAUCUCCAGAUAGUUGGAUUUGGUGUGUACCGGUAGAUUUGAAACAUCCAGCUUCUUAAAGGGCUUUCUGCAUAUGAUGGGUGUUAGUCUGUUUACCUGACCUAUGGGCUAUCAGAUCUACUUCAAAGAAAAAUAACAAAUCCAUGCUACAUCAUAGAGUUAAUCAGUAAAUGGUCAGUAUAUCUGUUUUGUGUUUUUUUAACUAUGUUCAUACCUCAUUUUCAUGGGAUCCCUACCAAUCCAGAACCCAGAUGGAAAACCAGAGCACUGGCCAUUUUCCAAGGCCAUACAUUCUAUUUAUAAGUUAGCAACCUAGAGCCAUUCUUAAAAUUCUAUUUAUUAUUCAUUUACAAACUGUUCUAACCAUUGAGACUGCCUGGUUUCCAGGCCCAUAGCAGAUUAAAGGAGGAGGCUGAAAGGGGGAGAUCAAAGGGUGUCUUUUGGAAGAACUAAAGGAAAUUUGACAGCCUGGUAGAUGGGCAGUAUGGAAGAAAGAGGGAGCUCUUUCAAAGAAUGGCUCAGGGAGUAGAAAAGCAUUUUAUUUAGAAAAACCUUUAUUUAUUCCAAGUGAUGAAAAAUACAACAGUUUGUCAUAAAGUGCCAUGUAUACUACUACUUGAGUAUUACUGAUUUUAUAAAUAGUGAUCCUGUAUUUAUAUUUUUUAAAGAGUUAUAUGUUUGUUUAUUUAUCAAUAUCUCUAUCUUUAGAUUCUGCCAUUGUAAAUAUUUG
ensembl:lincRNA